AGUUUGAUCCUGGCUCAGAACGAACGCUGGCGGCAGGCCUAACACAUGCAAGUCGAGCGCACCUUCGGGUGAGCGGCGGACGGGUGAGUAACGCGUGGGAAUAUGCCCUUUGGUACGGAAUAGUCCUGGGAAACUGGGGGUAAUACCGUAUGCGCCCUUCGGGGGAAAGAUUUAUCGCCAAAGGAUUAGCCCGCGUUGGAUUAGGUAGUUGGUGGGGUAAUGGCCUACCAAGCCGACGAUCCAUAGCUGGUUUGAGAGGAUGAUCAGCCACACUGGGACUGAGACACGGCCCAGACUCCUACGGGAGGCAGCAGUGGGGAAUCUUAGACAAUGGGGGCAACCCUGAUCUAGCCAUGCCGCGUGAGUGAUGAAGGCCCUAGGGUUGUAAAGCUCUUUCAGCUGGGAAGAUAAUGACGGUACCAGCAGAAGAAGCCCCGGCUAACUCCGUGCCAGCAGCCGCGGUAAUACGGAGGGGGCUAGCGUUGUUCGGAAUUACUGGGCGUAAAGCGCACGUAGGCGGACCGGAAAGUUGGGGGUGAAAUCCCGGGGCUCAACCCCGGAACUGCCUUCAAAACUAUCGGUCUGGAGUUCGAGAGAGGUGAGUGGAAUUCCGAGUGUAGAGGUGAAAUUCGUAGAUAUUCGGAGGAACACCAGUGGCGAAGGCGGCUCACUGGCUCGAUACUGACGCUGAGG
rnacentral:rRNA from 2 species